UUCCUUUCAGUAAGCCUUCGUGCAGAUUUCCUCUAUUAAGAUUUCAGAAAUGAGUCAGGUGAUCCAUGACCCAGUUUCAAAAAGGAAAGUUACCCCAACCUGCUAAGUUACCAUGAGCAAGUAUAGUCAUCUGGCUUUAGGUACUACUAAAGAAAAGCAGAGCUGAUUAAAUAAAUAAUUUGUUCUUUGUGGUAAAUUUUCAAUGAAUUGAUGUUUGAGCAACUAGCUUUGUUGUGUGUUAGAGGUUUUUUCCUAACAGUGAUUUCUGUAGUGACUUCUAUUAAAACAAAGGCAAUGUGGUUUUAAGAUCAUUCAGUGUGGUAAGGGUAUGUUGAGAAUUUAAAAACCUGUUUGUAUGUGUAAUACUACUUUUCUGAGGAAAUAUUUCAGAACAGCGGUGGUCUAUAAUGUUGAAAACUGUGGGCACUUUUUCUGUUGCUUCUAUAAAAAUAACGGCAUUUUUAGUGCUCUUCGUCAAAUUCAAGUGGCUAUGACUCUUAUAUGUACCUGAUUGAUCUGUAAAUCUUGGAGGUUGGAUUGUGUAAAACUCCUAAAAAAGUAAUCAAGCGAGUCUGAGAGAUCGGAUGUUUGAGGAAAGACUGAUUUUCCAGACUCUCCAGAACAGAAAAACAUGGGAAAACAUCUCAGUGUCAACAGCUAAGCCUUUCAGAUGCUCUCCAGUUCACCCUGAAGCAGCAAGAAAACAUCAUUUUAUAUGAUGAGCUCACUGUCUGCAGUGCCAGACUCUGCCCUUCCAGAAUCCUGAGGGCUGGGGAAAGAGUUGGUGAGCCCCCAUCUUUUAUUUUUAGUCAUUUAUUAUCACUGCCAAAGGGAUAUCUAUCCCCAUGUUCUUACUCUUUUUUUGUUGCAACGAGGGUAGUGACAGCUCUGCGCAUGUCAGGUCUGAGGCCCACGUCUGUACGCAGCCCAGCCAACAUAUCAGCAGCCAAAGAGACACGGCCAAAAAGAUUAGCCACAAAAAUCUCACAGAUGUUCAGACCUGUCAAAUUUGUUGUGAAUAUGCAGAUCAGCUGGGCUCCUGCAAUUGGUCUGCAUAUGUCCAGCAAGCAUUAGCCCAACUAACCAUUUUAGAUUUAUCCAGGAUGCCUGGAGAGGCAACUGUGGGCCACCAGAAGUUCAAAGAGUGCAGAAGCUCCGAGUACAUUGGCAGUGCUCCAGUCAGAGCUACAGGGAGGUCCUGAGUUGCACAGAACAAUUUUUAGAGUUGAAUGCUGUAGGACUGGGGGAGGAAAAAAAAAGCUGUCAGUAAGGCCAAUGACAGGAAGGUGUAGAUGAGAAAAUUUUCCCCAGAUUUAAGAUGACCCUAAAUAUUUUUGUAGAGAGAGUCUCUGAACUAUUAUAUGCACCUAAAAUAAGCUAGAGAUUUGAGACUGUAAUUUGCUCUUGUUUAAGUAAUGUUUGUUAAGACACCUGUUGAAACUAUUUUGCUCAUCUUCUUAUUAUAAAAGCUUUGUGAUAGUAACGUAAGAAUAAUAGGAAUAAUCCCAUCUUCACAACAAAGACUAAAGGGAGAUUUGUAACUGAUUUAAUUUUAUUGUGUUUCAACCUCUAAAUACAUCUUUUUAUGUCAGAAAUACAUAACAAAUCACAUUUCUGUCAAUAGGAAACACAGGUAACAUGAGUACACCACUCUAUCAAACUGAAACCAUAGCUGUUUCCUGUUGAUAAGCUUGCAGCUGCAUCCAGACCUUGGAUCCAGAAGUGCAUCCUUCCAAGGAUGUUGCUUCUGGACUGAUUUAGGCUGACAUAGAAAGGGAUAAGAGCAGACAAAGUUAAUAUGAGCAGAACUGCAAGGUGCAGAUGGGGAAUACCCUUUCUGGUUUUAAGCAAUUUGGUUUAGUCUGUCAUAAAACUUGCAUUAUUCAAAGAGACACUGAGAAAAUUAGUUCUUUUUUAUUCCUAAACUUCAAAAUUAUGCAUCUUAAAAUGAUAAUAGAAAGACAGCAGUUGAGUUUGAUUGGCAAAUUAAUUGAGAUUGAAAUAUGAGCCAUGUGCUGUUUAAUUUGUCCUGUUUUUUUCCUAAACUGAAACAGAAAAACAUACUUUUUAUUUUAAAAUCUGUUCCUGCUUUUCCUUUCCUUCAAAUACUGUUCAAGAUGUUUUGAAUUACAGUGAAAAUCUAUGUAUUUUUGCAGCUGAGGAGAUUUUGAUUUACCUACUGACUGCUGAUGAGGGUACUGAUGACUGACAAACAUCCAUCAUUUGAAAAUUUGAGACAUCAAUAUAAUCUAUUAAACAUAUCAAAUUAUUUUAAAUUUCUUGUCUGUCUUCUCAUUUAAUGGCAGCAGAAAUUGAGACAGACAGCAUUCAGCAAAGCCACAGUUUGGUGUUGACAUCAGUUUUACUUUCAUCAUGAGACAGUUGGAGGUAUCGCCAUUUAAAUCAGAAAAGAUAUUAAAUGCUUUCUACUUGAGCAUGUUGUUGGACAGAAGGAAUUUGUGCCUGAGACAGUAACACUCCAUCCUGCAACAUGCUGAGCUGGAACUCAGAUCACAGCUCUUAUAUGGGCCAUGCAGAGAAGGAAAACAGGUUUCCUGAAACAAACCCAGAUAAUUUUAAUUACUUUAAUUGUUUUUGCAGGAUUCUUUUAAAGAGAAGCUCAAUUUUUAGGACUCCCACAGGAUAAAGAAUAACUGUUGGACUUCCUCAGAGGAAUAAGGAUGGCACUGAGCAAUCUCUAGGCAUCAUCUGAACCCUUGAAGUCAGUAAAGCCAAACUACUGUGAAAAGUGGUGAUUUAGAUUUCCCUGUGAAACCUUUUUGAUGGUACUGUUAGGUGUGGUACAUCAAAGCCCAAGAUACUCUUGUAUGAAGGUAGUUCAUACUGGAAAGAAAAAAAACCAAACAGUUUUAUAAGAGCAAUAAACAAAAUGGAUCAAGAAUGAAGCAAGUGACAUUGAAGAGUUUCUCAAAGUAUCAGGCAUGGCUAGAUUGACUGAUAUCCUUGAAGACUGCCAGUAAGUCAGGACACCAAGGUCCAGGACAGGUCGAGGAGGGCCACGUACUCCUUACAGAGUCUACGUUUCUAGGAGGUGUCUGUCAAGAGAUGACUUAAACCACAGCCUCAAAGAAGGUCCCCAGUGCUCAUCAAAUGAAAAUAUGCUAUGGCUGAGUUACUCUGCAGGAGAGGUGAUACCACUGCUAAGAAACACCUUUAUUUCAAGUCAUUCUGUAGAUAUGAACUUGGGUAAAACCUGUUUCACUAAGACCAAGUGGAUAAAAACCCCAAAUACCUGAAAUGUAAAGGGGCUGUUUAGCCCCAUGGUUCUGCUCAGUUUGGAAGCAGGUGUGACUCUUCAUGUGAAGUUGUUUGACUUAGACCCAAUACUCAAGAAGACAUCCCAUCCACUUGGCAAAACAGCUGUGUGUGCAUUGAAGAGACUCAGAGAAGAUACCCCCUUGCCAUGUUUGUGUUAUGCUUACAAGGGGAUAUACAGACAAUAAUCCACUUGUAUGUUUCUAUUCUUUUACAACUAUGAGUGAGUACAGGUGGGAAGGUCUGGUUGUUACAUCAGCAAGUCAGCUCAGAUGUAGGUGGGUGUCCAGCACGUUGCUCAAAGUGACUCUUGGCAGACAUGAAAGCCAAAGGUGCAGAAAAUUGUCAGUUACAAAGUGCUAAGGCCCUAAAGGAACCCACUGUCCUUUCCCAGUCCCACAGUGCUCCCCCCACCCUCCCAUUGCCCAGAAUCCCAUUUCAGCCCAGUCCAGCCCCAUCAGUCAGGAAAGGUCCAAAUCAGAGUUACCUUGCUUGAGGUAACUUACCUUCAUCAGAACUCAGAUGGAGGCAGCCAGGGCAACAAUUUCAAAUACUUUAAAUAUUAGAAAAUUUAGUAGAAUUUUCUGCCUGUUUUACCAAUAGUCUUAGUAGUCUUGCAGUGUUUUCAGGGGGUGCUUCCCAAUGGCAGGUUGAAGGAGAAAUCACACAAAAAAACUCCCCGCCCAGUCAAACCACAAAGUAUGGCAAUAUGUAAAGUAGGGGCAUUUCACCACAGUACCAAAACAAACAUGAACAGUCCUCUGUAGCUCUUGUCUAGGCAGCUGCUUCAGCUUCAAAUGGAACAAUAUUCUUCCCUAGAGGUUGGGUGACUAGAUCAUCCAGCAAGAGGAUAAACAAAAAAAACCCCAUAGGUAAGAGGACUGAAUAUAGUGAAGGAAGGACAAAAGAAAUAUCAAACAAGAACAAAUACAGCAAAAGACACUACAACAAAGUUUCCUGUAAGCACAGCAGAGGUAUAGGGAGUUUGAAGACAUGCUCCAGCCUUGGCCAUUCCUCACGUCCAGCAAGCUGGAGCAGCCUUAUUAGACCUGCUCGGCCCUACCACCAGCAAUGCCUACAUGCUCUUCUCCACACAGCCAAGUCCAGCAGCUAAUAAAUUGUGUGUGAAUUGUGUGGACAGAGGAUAAUUCCAGAAGGUGCGGAACUCAGGUUUUCCCAGAAUAUUUCCAUAGUCAGCCCAAAGUCAAUAGGUGGAAUGAGCAGGAAUUUCUUCUGGGAGAACCUGAGGAGUAUUGCAAAAACUGUACUGAGAUCCGCUUAAAGUUUUCAGGGUGCAUUUAAAUAUUUUCUGUUUGAGCUAUAUGGUUGAAAUAAAUUUGUGCAGCAGCUCUGUAA